GACAGAGGGGGCAAGCGUUGCUCGGAAUCACUGGGCGUAAAGCGCACGUAGGCGGCUUGUUAAGUCAGGGGUGAAAUCCUGGAGCUCAACUCCAGAACUGCCUUUGAUACUGGCGAGCUUGAGUCCGGGAGAGGUGAGUGGAACUGCGAGUGUAGAGGUGAAAUUCGUAGAUAUUCGCAAGAACACCAGUGGCGAAGGCGGCUCACUGGCCCGGUACUGACGCUGAGGUGCGAAAGCGUGGGGAGCAAACAGG
rnacentral:rRNA from 1 species